AUACAUGUGGAGGGCAGCAUUAUUCUCGAUGCAUCAUCUCUUGGAAUGCAGAACAACGCAAGCGAGCAAAAUGAACCUAAGGAAUUAAAUUGCGAAAAAUUUGGAUUCGACGAAAAUGUGUUUAAGCGUGUGGCAGGUACCUUCAAAACUAUUCCCAAAUUUUUAAAAAUAAACUCAUUUCACAUGCAUUUAAGACAAUGGUUUCGACUUGGAGAGCCUUUUGGUUGCAACCGAAUCGGAAAUAAACGAGUUAUUUCCAGCUUCUCUCUUAGGCACAAGGGCAAAAUUUAAGUUUCAUUUGAAUUUCUGGAGAAAGAAUGUAUGUACAAUAUAUUUGAAUGAUAACUUGAUUUAAAGCUUAAUUUUUUUUUUUAAUUAGCCACCGAAAAAUAUUUCUGAGGCAUGCAAGAACUGGAUUGAGUCAAAUUACUUAGAACCGAAUUCCAGUUCAGUACAUAGUAAUAUAAGUUCACCCUCAUCUUCACAUCGGUCCUUUGAAAAUGAUUCGAUCUUUUUCGACAACAACACAUUGAAAGAAUUGUUAAGCCAGACAGAGAGGGGUCAGAGCAUACUUAACUCCUAUGAUGAAGAAAAGCAUCACUCGGACAUACACUUGUUGAAAUCGACUAUAAUAUCCUGAAACCAAACAAUCAAUCGCAACUUUUCAAACUCUGGCCUUCAUUCAUAAAACAAAUCGUUCCCGUUAUAAAAAAACAAGUGAAGGAGAAAGGUUCAUGGACUCUAUUAAACGAUCUCGAGAGUAUUAGCGCAAGUAGGUGUAUCCUUCUUUUUAAAUACAUAUUAAUUAUUUUUAAUUUUCAAUAUUUUAUAUUGCUUCCUGCUUCCUUGCCCAUUUCAAUUUUUUCUAUCCUCAUUUGUUAAGUUCCUUUUUUUAA